CUCUCUCACUGGCAGCAACCCAGCGCUUCCAUUGCUGACCUCUACCGACCUCUACCUGUGGUCCUUCCUCUACUGCAGCAGAGACACUGUUUUCUUCCUUUGUUCUUCCAACCCCAUGGGGAAUAUCACAGAAGUGAAGUGCAAUUCUCAUCAUGUCAUAUCAAGAGCACACACUAACAAACAACAUGACUUAUUGCUGAAUAUUGAACUUGAUCACCUGGCUGAGGUAGUGUUUGCCAGAUUUCUCUGUAAAGGUGAAUAAACUGACACUGGAACAUUCAGGAACUUCUUCAUGGUCAUGGUCACCCAGCUAGAGUGUGGAAGCCAGGCUGUCUGAUUCCAGGAUCUGUGUUCUUAAUCCUAUACAUAAGGAAGCCAUAAUGAGUCAACCACUAUUUUUAAGAUUCACAGAUGUUCGGGUCCAAUUCACCAGAAUGCCAAGUUAUACAGGGUUGUGGAAUCAAAAACUGCAAUUAGUAAUAAAAUGUGAUGCUAUCUAGAAUGUUUUUCAUACAUAUAUAUGCUUCUUGGGACUCUCCCUGCAGGUUAAGAGAAAUUGAGAAACGAUGGAGAAUUUAAGUGUUUUAGAUCCUACAUACAUUAGACUUAAAAAUAGUAACUAUGUACAUGAGUAUUUGUAAACUUAAGAAUGAACAUAACAUGAACCAUGUGGCACCUAUAAAAUGAAAAUAAAAUACCUACAAACCAAAUGAGAGCAAUAAAAGAAGCUUUAAGGACUUUCACUUCAGGGAGUCUGAAUUAGAUGCGCUUCUUCCCAUUCCUCCCUCUAAUUACAACAAGCUUGGACGUUACAUACAGAACAAACAGAAGGAGUCUCUGAAAGAUGAAGAGAAGGCAAGUAAGCUACAGACUUCACAAUGUAAGGAAUAAUAUGGUGGUGAGUUACAUUUGUGAUUUUUUUUUGUCUCAUAUCCCAUAAUAUCUCAUAUCUCAUAAUCAGUUAGAAAGCACAAUGGAAAAGUAUUCCACUGCCAAUGGUGUUAGAGAACUGCUCACAAAUUCAACAGAAAUGCACAGAUACCAAAGCAGAAAGGACAAUAAACAAGAGUCUUCAUGGUCAAAAGAUUAGAAGCUGCAGCUUUCAAUGGGAGGGACAGGUUCUGGACCACACUGCAGUGCUUUUCUGCUUUCUGUGCUUUCCCACUCUAGAGCUGAAGAAGGUAACGACCCCAAAAUGUCAAUAUACGUAGACCAAAAACCAGCCCCAAUAAAAGUCUGCUCUCUCUAGCCAAAGGACUACAGUAGGGCAGCCCAGCAAGACAGAAAACCUUCAGACAACCUACCCCAGCCAAACACUACCAAAAAAAGUAAAGUGAGCCAUCACCCAAUCCACAUCAGUAAAAACUAAGUGGAAAGUCCAGACUUUCACCUCAAGAGGUUGCGACAAGCUACUCCAAUACCCCUGCUGGGAUAGUGUCACAGAAGGCUAAAUAAGGAGCUGUAAUGUUGAUUCCCCUCCAGAAGUAAAGAGUCCGUACCUGCUAUUUUCAGAGAGACCACAUGGAAAGCCUAGAUUUCAACACCUACCCAGCAUUAAUGAGGUAUUCCUUCCCUUCUUUACUCUCUGGUGUCAAAGAAGCUCCAUGCAGAGUCAGAAUGUUUGGCAUUACUCCUCAGUAGGGAGGCCACCCCCACCACGGUGUUAGUGGAGACCAUGUGAGGACCAGGACUUGUACCCUGCCCAGAAGUAAUGAGUAGACCCCCCUCUACAGGAAGGCCAAAGGGCAACCUAAACUUCUACCUCUCUCUGGCAGUAAUAAAGUAGGGCCUCACUUUUCCCUGCUGAGCAAUGUCAAAAAAAAAAGCCAGCUGAAGUAAAAGCUUAUUUCUUUCUUUCUUUAUACAUAUUUUUGGAGACAGGGUCUUAUUCUGUCACCCACGCUGGAGUACAGUGGCCUCAUCAGGUCUCACUGCAGCCUCAACCUCCUGGGCUCAAGCAAUCCUCCCACCUCAGCCUCUUGAGUAGCUGAGACCACAGAUGUGCACCACCACACAUAGCUAACAUUAACAUUUUUUCUAGAGAUGGGGUCUUCCUGUGUUGCCCAGGCUGGUCUGGAACUCCUGGGCUCAAGUGAUCCUCCCACCUUGACCUCCUGGAGGGCUGGGAUUACAGGUAUGAGUCAUCACUCCAGGCUGAAGCUUUAUAUAAUAACCAGAGUCUCAUAUUACAAAAUGUCAAAGAUUCAGUCAAAAGUUACUUGAUAUCAAUGGACAAGAUCUCAAACUAAAUGAAAAAAAGACAAUUAAUAGAUGCUAACACUGAGAUAACAAAGUUGUUAGAAUCAUCUAACAAAGAUUUUAAAGCAGCUAUAAUAAAAGUGCUACUGCAAGUGAUUAUAAACAUGCUUGAGACAAAUGAAAAAGUGCUAUAAAGCUAAGAAAUAAAAUAUAUAAAUAAGAAUCAAAGAGAAAUUAUAGAACUAAAAGAUACCAUAACUGAAAUGCAAAGCUCCGUGGAUGGACUCAACAACAGAAUGGAAAAGACUGAGGAAAGAAGUAGUUUACAGGAAAUUAGAAUAGACUAGAAAAAAUGAACAAGACCCUGUGCUAAAGAGCAAAUAUUUAUGUCAUUGGAUUCCAGGAAAGAGAAAAGAAUGAAAAAGUACUUAAAUAAUGGCUUAAAAACUUCUCACAUUUUGCAAAGAUUUAAACCUACAAUUUGAGAAGCUGGGUAAACCUUAAACAGGAUAAAUCAAGGACACUCACACCAAGAAACAUAGUAAUUAAACUUCUGAUUAAGGAAGAAAAAGAAAAAUCUGGAAAGCAGCAAGAAAAAAAUGACACACUUUCUAUAUGGUAAAAGCAAUUUGAACAACAGAAGAUUUCUCAUCAGAAACUGUGGGGACCAUGAGGAAGUAACAGAUAUUUUUCAAGUGCUGAAAUAAAUCAACUGUCAAUACAAAAUGCUCUACUCAGUGAAAAUAUCUUUCAGGAAUAAAGGGGAAAUCAGGACACGCACAGACUUUUUUUAAAUUAAGAAUUUAUUGUCAGCUUAUCUCCCUAAAAGAAUGGCUAACAUUCUCCAAACACGAAGGAAAUUGAUAAGGAAUCUUGAAAUUUCAGUUAGAAACAAUGAAUAUGGCAAGCAAAAUGUAGGUCAGUACACUAAGUUUAAUUUCUCCUCUUGAAUUUUCUAAAUUAUGACUUAUGAUUGAAGCAAAAAUCAUAACAUUAUCUGAUGUAUAUGUAGAGGAAAGAUUUAAGACAGUGAUGUUAUAAAUGAGGGGAGUAAAGGAACAUGAGAUAACCACUAAUAUGACAUACCAAUAGACUAUGAUAAAUUAUGUGUCUAAUGUGAUUACUAGAAAAACCAGUUAAAAUAUAAAGAUUGACGGAGUGAAUUUAAAAACAUGACACACUAUAUGCUGUUUAUCAUAAACUCACUUUGAAGAUAAUGCCAUCGUCAGGUUGAAAUCAAAAGGAAUAAAAUAGUGUAUUAUGUAAACCAUCAAAAAGAGCAGGAAUGGCCAUAUUAAUAACAUUAAAGUCAGCUUCAGAACUAAGGAAAUUAUCAGAGAGGGACAUUAUAUAAUGAAAUAGUCGAUUUACCAAAAGAACAUAGCAAUCAUAAAUGUGCAUGAAGCAAACAACAAAGCUGGAAAAUAUAUGAAGUGAAACUGAUAGAUCUAAAAGGAGAAACAGAUAAAUCCAUUCAUUAUAGUUGGGGCCUUUAUCACCCCUCACUCAACAAUUGAUAGAACUGGACAGAAAACCAGUAAGAAUAUAAAAGAACUCAACAACAUGAGACAAUAGGAUCUAGUUGAUAUUUAUAGAACAUUCCAACAGCAGAAUACAUGUUCUUCAAGUGCUCACAGAACACACAUAUAAAGAUAGACCCUGAGCAUAAAACAAGCCUCAACAAAUUUAAAAGAACUGAAAUACUACAAGUACUUUCUCCAACCACAAAAGAACCAAACUAGAAAUAAAUAACAAUGAUAAUGGGAAAAUCACCAAACACUUGAAAACUGAACAACAAUAUUUUAUAACCCAUGGUCAUAGAGGAAAUCUCAAAAGAAAUUUUAAAAAUGCACUGAACUGAAUGAAAAUGAAAACAACAUAAAAUUUGUGAGACACAUAAAGCAGAACUGAUGGGAAAAUAUAUAGCACUAAAUGCAUGCUCUAGAAAAGAAAAGUCUUCAACCAGUAACCUAAGCUUCCACCUCAAAAACCUAAAAAAAGAAGGAAAAAUAGACCCAAUGCCAGCAGAAAGAUGCAAUAACAAAGAGUAGAACUCAAUGAAAUUGAAAACAGAUAAACACUUUAAAGAAUAAAACAAAGAGCUGGUUAUUAGAAAAGAUCAAUUAAUUGAUAAACCUCAAGCAAGACCGUCAAAAAAAAAAAAAAAAGGACUUACCUAUACCAGAGAUGAAAUGGGAUAUCGCUAUCAAUACUGCAAACAUCAAAAGGAUAAGUAGAUACUAUGAACUGUACACA
rnacentral:lncRNA from 1 species